rnacentral:rRNA from 1 species
UGAAUACGAGAUGCUACGGCGUCGAAGCAGUCUAUGUCAUACUUCCAAGAAAAGCUUGCACUGUCAUAAACAAAUAAUGCCUGUACCAUAACCGACACAGGUGGGUAGGUAGAGUAUACUAAGGGGCGCGAGAUAACUCUCUCUAAGGAACUCGGCAAAAUGACUCCGUAACUUCGGGAGAAGGAGUGCCUUAUUUAUAAGGUUGCAAUAACAAGAUCCAAGCAACUGUUUACCAAAAACACAGGUCUCCGCUAAGUCGUAAGACGAUGUAUGGGGGCUGACGCCUGCCCAGUGCCAGAAGGUUAAAGAAGUUGGUUAGCAUCCGCGAAGCUGAUAACUGAAGCCCUGGUGAACGGCGGCCGUAACAAUAACGGUCCUAAGGUAGCGAAAUUCCUUGUCGGGUAAGUUCCGACCCGCACGAAAGGCGUAAUGAUUUGGAUACUGUCUCGGAGAGGGGCUCGGUGAAAUAGACUUGUCUGUGAAGAUGCGGACUACCUGCACCAGGACAGAAAGACCCUAUGAAGCUUUACUGUAACCUGAAAUUGAAAUUGGACUUUACUUGCGCAGUAUAGGUGGGAGGCGUUGAGAAUAUUCUUGCGGGAUUAUUGGAGCCAUCAGUGAGAUACCACUCUUGUAAUGUUAGAUUUCUAACUUUGUAUCAUUAUCUGGUCAAAGAACAGUUUCAGGCGGGCAGUUUGACUGGGGCGGUCGCCUCCUAAACGGUAACGGAGGCGCACAAAGGUUUCCUCUGAACGGGUAGAAAUCGUAUCUAGAGUGUAAAGGCAUAAGGAAGCUUGACUGUGAGACCUACAAGUCGAGCAGGGACGAAAGUCGGUCUUAGUGAUCUGACGGUGCUGAGUGGAAAGGCCGUCACUCAACGGAUAAAAGUUACUCUAGGAUAACAGGCUGAUCUCCCCCAAGAGUUCACAUCGACGGGGAGGUUUGGCACCUCGAUGUCGGCUCAUCGCAUCCUGGGGCGGUAGUACGUCCCAAGGGUUGGGCUGUUCGCCCAUGAAAGCGGUACGCGAGCUGGGUUCAGAACGUCGUGAGACAGUUCGGUCCAUAUCCGGUGUAGGCGUUAGAAUAUUGAGAGGAGCCUUCUUUAGUACGAGAGGACCGAGAAGGACAUACCUCUGGUGUACCAGUUAUCGUGCCAACGGUAAACGCUGGGUAGCUAUGUGUGGAGUGGAUAACCGCUGAAAGCAUCUAAGUGGGAAGCCCACCUCAAGAUAAGUAUUCUCAUG